UUCCCCAGGCAGCAUGUGAGGCUGGGGUGGCACUCGACACAGGACAGCAGGCAAGGACAUGCCGCCCUCCAGGCUGAGGGUCUUGGGAGCCUCCCCUCCCAGCCCCUGCUGUGGCCUCCCCCUGGGCCCUGGCAUGGGAGGAGUUAAGCUGCCGCGGGCACCUUGGCACAUUGCGCUGCCCAGAGUGUCCGGCUCCCCACCCCCACUGCUUUUCUUCCUUUUUGCCUUUUUCCUUCUUAAUUAAUCAUACGCUGCUGCCCAAUUUAAAUAUGGAAAUGCCCAGGCCGAGGCGAUGCAAUUAUUCAUGAGGGCCGGGCGGCUGUCCGGGGCUCUCGGGCUGUGGGGAGUACCGUGGCAUCGCCUCCGUUCUGAUGUGUGUGAAAUUAUGUGCACAAAAGGCGCCUCCUUAUCUGGGAGUGUGAACUAAAUAAAUAAAUAAGGGCUUUUGUUUGUUUGCCGGCUCCUGCA
ensembl:lncRNA novel transcript, antisense to C22orf26